ACCCCAAGAUGGUUGCUAGUGUUUCUUUUGCUGUCAGUGUGACUGCUUUUCACUGCUGACAAAAAUCACACCAAAUUUCUAACUACAUAAGUUCCUAGUAUUAAACCAAGUUUUUUAUUGCAGGAAGGAACAAGAGCAGGACACCUGAGAAAGAAGAGAGAAUUUCCUUUCUUUUUCCAAGAAAACUCUGUUCAAGGCUUCAAGCGCCAACGACUAGGGAAUGAUCUCGGCAAGCAGAGAAUUCCAACUUCUUUGAUCAAUCCACCCUUGACAUCUAAUGGUCCUGAAGAGACUCCCAGUCCAUCACUCUUAAACAAGCAUUCCUUCUUUUGCUUUUACAAGUUUCUAUCUGCAAAACAUGAAAGAGCCCGUUGUUUUGUUCUUAGCAAUCUUUCUGCUUUCCUUAAUCACGGCUCAAGCAUCCAAGUGCAACCGGUCAUGUGGCGGCCAGACUGUUCCUUAUCCAUUUGGAUUCUCUGCCGGCUGCCAAAUCCCUCUAAACUGCAGCUCAAGUAGCCAGAAGCUUGUCGCCGGUUUUCCAAUCCUGACCAUAAACGCUGAUCGCAUAAAAAUCAGCAUUGAAGCCACUUGCAACCGUCCACUCCGAGCCCUUCACCGCCUUUAUGGCCCCAAUUAUGCACCAACAUCUCGGAACGCAAUUCUGUUGCAAAACUGCAGCUCGCCAGCGCCAUGCAUGAUACCAUCAACAAUGGUUUACACUCAUUUCGAGGCCCUUGCUUGCUCUCCUAACAGCAGCAAUAUAAGUUGCUAUUCAGAAAACAAUGCUAACGGUUUCGCUGAUUACAACAAGGUGACUCGAACCAACUGCAAGUCAUUUUUAUCGUCCAUAUCAGCAGAAUCUUUCAAUGAAUCAGCAGUCCUGGAGGUCCGGGUGGUUGAGCUAGGGUGGUGGCUUCAAGGACGGUGCUCUGACUUCUGUUCUGAAAAUGCAAUUUGUGAUGAAAUUGUUUCACCGUUUAGUGGAAAGCCAGGAUUCCGUUGCAAAUGCAAACAUGGGUUCACAGGCGAUGGAUAUCGUGCUGGCGAUGGUUGCCGGAAAGGGCAGCAAAGAGUGCCUUGCUGCACUGUUAAAUGAUCACAAACAUCCUGAUUUGCUGGCCAAAAAAGUAGUAUUGUUGGUGACCCCAGCAGUAACAGGGGAAAAAAGCACCUUCAGAUUGCAACCUUGCAGGAUACAUUUCUGGCAAAUGUGGAGGAACGACUAGGGUCGCUGUUUUGGUUGGAGGUAAUGAUCAAUUAACAUCAAACAUCCUACUAUAGGUUUCUUUGGGUAUAGCUAAUAAAAAACGUAUUCACAAGGC